rnacentral:rRNA from 1 species
CCCCUGCGGGUGGAGCUGAAGUCAGUCGAAGAUACCAGCUGGCUGCAACUGUUUAUUAAAAACACAGCACUGUGCAAACACGAAAGUGGACGUAUACGGUGUGACGCCUGCCCGGUGCCGGAAGGUUAAUUGAUGGGGUUAUCGCAAGAGAAGCUCCUGAUCGAAGCCCCGGUAAACGGCGGCCGUAACUAUAACGGUCCUAAGGUAGCGAAAUUCCUUGUCGGGUAAGUUCCGACCUGCACGAAUGGCGUAAUGAUGGCCAGGCUGUCUCCACCCGAGACUCAGUGAAAUUGAACUCGCUGUGAAGAUGCAGUGUACCCGCGGCAAGACGGAAAGACCCCGUGAACCUUUACUACAGCUUGACACUGAACAUUGAGCCUUGAUGUGUAGGAUAGGUGGGAGGCUUUGAAGCGUGGACGCCAGUCUGCGUGGAGCCGACCUUGAAAUACCACCCUUUAAUGUUUGAUGUUCUAACCUGGCGCCGUGAUCCGGCGUGGGGACAGUGUCUGGUGGGUAGUUUGACUGGGGCGGUCUCCUCCCAAAGUGUAACGGAGGAGCACGAAGGUCAGCUAAUCCUGGUCGGACAUCAGGAGGUUAGUGCAAUGGCAUAAGCUGGCUUGACUGCGAGAGUGACGGCUCGAGCAGGUGCGAAAGCAGGUCAUAGUGAUCCGGUGGUUCUGUAUGGAAGGGCCAUCGCUCAACGGAUAAAAGGUACUCCGGGGAUAACAGGCUGAUACCGCCCAAGAGUUCAUAUCGACGGCGGUGUUUGGCACCUCGAUGUCGGCUCAUCACAUCCUGGGGCUGAAGUAGGUCCCAAGGGUAUGGCUGUUCGCCAUUUAAAGUGGUACGCGAGCUGGGUUUAGAACGUCGUGAGACAGUUCGGUCCCUAUCUGCCGUGGGCGCUGGAGAAUUGAGGGGGGCUGCUCCCAGUACGAGAGGACCGGAGUGGACGCAUCACUGGUGUUCGGGUUGUCAUGCCAAUGGCACUGCCCGGUAGCUAAAUGCGGAAGAGAUAAGUGCUGAAAGCAUCUAAGCACGAAACUUGCCCCGAGAUGAGUUCUCCCUGAGACUGUAAGUCUCCUGAAGGAACGUUGAAGACGACGACGUUGAUAGGCCGGGUGUGUAAGCGCAGCGAUGCGUUGAGCUAACCGGUACUAAUGAACCGUGAGGCUUAACCUU